AUGUAGCAAGGCGUCUGACUACGAAUCAGGAGAUCGUGGGUUCGAGCCCCACCGU
rnacentral:tRNA from 1 species